AUGACUCUGCCCAUGAUCAUGGAAAUUGGACUAGAGAGAGGGUUCAGAACUGCUGUAGGCGAUCUCAUAAUAAUGCAGCUGCAGCUUGCACCCGUUUUCUUCACUUUUUCACUAGGUACAAAGAUGCAUUAUUUUGGGCGCACUCUUCUUCAUGGAGGAGCAAA